GGCAAUUACUUUUCAAAUGUCAAAAGCCGUCAUAUUUCUGUAGAUACUUGUCCUUUGGGAAAAUAUUGAAUAAUUUUGAUUACCAAUUAAUUAAUGGAUUGUAUAUCGUGAAACAUAGUGUAUUGAUGGUGAGCCGGUAGUUGCGGCGCCGGGAAAUCAGACUGGACUCAGACGAUACAAUUUAUUUCGGAACAAUUGAUGGUACAGAGUGACACAAGAAACCUCGCUGUAUAAAAUGGACGCAAGGAACUUAUGACGCUAUCAACAUAGAAUAGUCUUCCAUACGGCACCAAGACUGAACCUGUGAUACACCAGCGACGCUCAGACUUCAUCAGUUCAUCCCACUUCAUCCGUGGACUGCAGGCUUAGCUGAGGAACCCAGACAAUAACCGGAACGAACUUUAUGGAGCAUCACAAUUGUUCUAUAAGGACAUUAUUGUAAACUAGGGGUGGUCGAUGCCCCACGCGGCGCCCGCCUCCGCCAUGUCGGCUCCCCCCCGCCACCCGCACUUCUACACCGUCGAGGUCGGCGACACCCGCUUCACCAUCCUCAAGCGUUACCAGAACCUCAAGCCGAUUGGAUCCGGGGCACAGGGCAUUGUCUGCGCUGCAUACGACACGGUGACCCAACAGAAUGUCGCCAUCAAGAAACUGUCGCGGCCCUUCCAGAACGUCACGCACGCAAAACGCGCCUACCGCGAAUUCAAACUCAUGAAACUCGUCAACCAUAAAAAUAUAAUCGGUCUCCUGAACGCGUUCACCCCGCAGAGGAGCCUAGAGGAGUUCCAGGACGUGUACCUGGUGAUGGAGCUGAUGGACGCUAACCUCUGCCAGGUGAUCCAGAUGGACCUGGACCACGAGCGCAUGAGCUACCUACUGUACCAGAUGCUGUGCGGCAUCAAGCACUUGCAUCUUGCUGGGAUUAUACAUCGGGACUUGAAGCCCUCCAACAUAGUGGUGAAGAGCGACUGCACGCUCAAGAUCCUGGACUUCGGGCUGGCUCGCACCGCCGGGACCACCUUCAUGAUGACGCCCUAUGUCGUCACUAGAUACUAUCGCGCGCCUGAGGUAAUCCUGGGCAUGGGCUACACGGAGAACGUGGACAUCUGGUCGGUGGGCUGCAUCAUGGGCGAAAUGAUCCGCGGCGGCGUGCUCUUCCCCGGCACCGACCACAUCGACCAGUGGAACAAGAUCAUUGAGCAAUUGGGCACGCCAUCUGCGGCGUUCAUGGCGCGGCUGCAACCGACGGUGCGCAACUACGUGGAGAACCGCCCGCGCUACGCCGGUUACAGCUUCGAGCGGCUCUUCCCCGACAUAUUGUUCCCCUCCGACAGUAAUGAACAUAACCGACUCAAGGCGUCUCAAGCGCGCGACCUGCUGUCCCGCAUGCUGGUGAUCGACCCGGAGCGCCGCAUCUCCGUGGACGAGGCGCUGCUGCACCCCUACAUCAACGUGUGGUACGACGAGGGGGAGGUCAACGCGCCGGCACCAGCGUCAUACGACCACUCGGUGGACGAGCGCGAGCACACCGUGGACCAGUGGAAGCAGCUCAUCUACCAGGAGGUAGGAGGCUCUGACGUCAUCGACGACGACUAACACGUCCCCGACGACGUCUUACCACGUCGCGACGUCACACUUCACCAUUAUAAAAUACUAUCGCGUAAAUACUGUGCCGCUAGAACUUAAAAGUCAUAAUUCAGUAUCAAUCAAGUGGACUGUGUUUAGUGCAGUGUAUUAUAAUUGAAAAACUGAUAGAAAUUAUCUUUCUUCUAUAACAACAAUUUUAAUAACAAAUAAAAACUUUUCCAAAACAAAUUACCGACAAUAAUCGUUUAUAAGCGCCACCUGUGAGAAGAGUUCCGAACUAAGACAAACAACAUCGCAACGUCAAUGUGCUGUGCUUGGAAGUAUAUAUCGCCUAACAGAUGGCGUUAUUUGUAGAUGCAAUGAGAAGUUCUUCCACCGCGUUGGAUUACUGGUGAGUCCACAGAAUACAAAAUCAAAUUAACCCUGUAUUGCACAAAAAAAAGAGCGAGCAUAGUAACCCUAUGAGAGUUCGAGGGCGCACAUUUCUUUUGUCAAUCGUGCACGAAGUGUCUGCAGGAUGACCUUGAGAUGGAAACCAACGUUACAAAGUACUAGAAUAGGCUGACUCUUGAAACACGUCGGUUUCUGAACGAUCUUCACGCCACUCGGGAGUCUAGGGCCGACAAUCGUGGCUCAAAUGAAAGGCUUUAUGUGGAUGGAGCAUAGUAAAGGUAUAAGAAGGACGCUCGAAUAUUCGUUUAAUUAAAGAUGAACCGCUUGAAUCUAUUAACAAUAAUAUGAAGAUAAAAAGAACACCUGGAUGCCUAUGUACGAGCGAGUGACACAGAGGGCCUGUCAGCUAUUUUACUAAGUUCGCUAAGCAGACAGCCGAUAAGAUUGGCGGGGGAUACAUAGAGACAGAUGAAAGAAAGAAAUAUUUAUUAUUAUGAGAUAGAAGUUAUUCUGUUCCGCUCAUACACUCCGCUCUUAAGCAGCCGGGCACCCGACGGGAAGCUGGCCCUCUGAAGGUUUUUUAGAACCCAGCUAUUGUACAGAAAAGGAUUAUAAAUGUAAUAUUUAUUAACGUUCCUAUUAUUUGUUUAAAACUGUCUCUUGUUUACCAUAUAUUUCUUGUAUAUUUGUGUUACUUCGAUCUAUGCAAAGUAUUUAUGAGUCAUAUGGUGGUCAGGUAUUCAAGCUUAUAAUUACUGAACUAAUCAUACUAACUUUACACGUAUUUAUUCAUUCAUGCAAUUUUCUCUCAUUAUUUUUAUGUAUUGAGUAAAUUGAGCUUACACCAAUCAUACUAAGGGAUAAAAUACACACUUACUCACAAGAAAAAAUAAAUUAACAUGGGCGGACGGGGCGUUAUCGCUAAAAGCGAUCUCUUCCAGACAACUGUUAGCAGAGGAGAUAAGAACAUGACAUCACAGAAUACCAGGAUGCCCACCACCACCAUAUGACUACAUCGACGGUAAAACGUCUCUCGUGUUAUUGUGUGGUGGAGUACGCGGCGCCGCCGCCCGCGCAGCCGCUGGCGCCGCCCCAAGACCACGCGCAACCGGCGCUCACCACAUAGGUAUCAGCCGAGUUGACCGCCGAAAUCUAAUGAUCUACGACUAUAGUGCUAUCACUGUAGAGCGCGACGCGACGCGCUUCAUACGGCUACUGCGCAGUAGCCAUUCGGCGGCCAUUUUACUGUGAACACGUUUCAAUCAAACAAACGAUGUACAUAAAUAUCGUGACUUUGUGCAAUACACCACGGAAUCAAUUCAAGUGCAAAGUAAAAAGUUAAUUUGACUCGUUCAUUUUCUUUGUGUACAGAGAAGAGAGUGAAUGUUUCAGAGACAUCAAUAAUAACGUAGAGUAAGGCAGUGUAACAGAGAAUAACCCGUAGCGUAGCUGAAGUACUCUGUUAAGUACUGGUUUGUUUGUAUCAUUUAAAGAACUGUUAUCUCGUCUAUUUCUCGUAGUAUCUUCCUGUUUCUUAUGAUACGUAGUGUAAGUGAUCGGUUGCAGUGACACUGGAUGGUGUUCGUAAGCUCAACAGGUCCAUUGAUCGCCCCCGCCCCCGCCCCUGCCCCCGCUCCCGCCUUGCCCACGAACGUUUCAUUUGCAUUAAGGAGUGCCUUUUGCGAUUGCUAAAAGUUGGUGAAUUCAGCUUGUGGACUGACUUUGAUAUGUUUGAAUAUUUUUGUAAUAAAAUACACGAAUGAAAUGACAAGGGUGAUUCCUCUUAUUAAUCAUGCAAUAUUUUUAUCUCGUUUUAUUUUAAUUUAUAUCAAUUUGUAAUUAAAUAGUAAUGUAAUGAAUAUUAAUAAUAGAAUGUUGAGCUUAAUAUGUGUUGUUGUAUUUUUGUUUUUAUUGUGCGAUUAUUUUAAUUUAUACAUUAUUUGUAAUGUUAAUUAUAUUAUUGACGGUGGCACAUUUCCAAUCUGACCUCGAUCUGUCAACCCGAUGAAUUUCCUAAUCGAAUAUAAACUUUGUUGUAAGUACAGUGCCAUUCACAACCUUAUUGCCAUAGGUACAUGUUGGGUGUUGGAUUUGCAAUCGUGAGUUUCUGCGUGAUCUUUGGAUGUAUCUCGAUAUAAUUUGUUUCUUAGCCAUACACAAUGUCAGAUAGUUACUUGGGAUUUUGUGAUGUUCAUAGUUUUUCGUAAGUAGACCCUAGUUACAUUGUUGAUAAUAUUGUAUUGACUGUAUGAGAGUAGAUUAAUAAGUAUAUUUCUACCUAAGUAGUCUUAUAGGUCACCUCACACGUUGCGAACGACUGAAACUAAAUACGUAAACAAACGAACGAGUUGAUAACCUUGGUAUGUUAAACGGAAAUCGGAACGGUUUUAUAUAAAAAAAAGUAAAUCUAAAAAUAAUUUUAAACCUCGUUUUUUUCCACUGAUGACGUCAGUUUUAAUAUUCUGCUUUCAAUAAACACAAUAGGUGCGUAUAAUUUUAUUAUACGACAGUUCAGUCAAUGGCUUAACGUGUGAGGGUGUCGUAGGAUAUCGUUUGAAACCUCACUAGGUGAUAUAAUAUAAAUUAAGGGUAAUACAGAACGAUAGUCGUAUCGGGUGGUUUCAGCAAAUAGCACAAUUUAUUAGCUAUAGUAUAAAGCUGGGCGGUGACACGUUUGUGAUGUAUCUGCAUAACCAAUGAAGCAAUAAUAACAUCUUUCCUUUCUAUCUUUCGACUUCCUUCCAGAGCGGGCAACCAACUCGUUUAGGCCCAAAAACAUAUCACGAUUGACUUAAAUUGAUCAAUAUUCGACGUUUUUUGGCCAACGGUGAUGUUUGGCCGCUCCUCUAUGUUGUCGCUUUACUUUUGUUCCAUGCCGUCUCAGGAUUAUCACGUAAUUUAAUGUCAAUUGUGUCACCUCUAAUGCAAAGGCAUCUAAAUUUUCAUAAGGUUGUAUGUAUAUCAAAAUCAAGAUAAUAACAAUUUUGGCUAAUGCAAUUUUAUGUUGAUAAGAAAAAGAAGUGUAAUAAAUCUUUGAAAGUAUACAAUAAUAAGUCUAUUUUAGAUCUAAGUAUAAAUCUGUAAAUAUAACAGUAAAUAAUAAAUUACUGAAAUGGAACGAAAGUGAAGAGAACAUACUUUGAAUCUUAUAGUCAUUCUGUUUAUCACUAUAGAAAAUAAAUGAUUCACAACUGUACGUCCAAAUUGUCCAUUUAUAUGUUAAAAUGUACCUAAUACAAAUUACAAUAAUGUAAUCUUUAGAAUGUAUUUUAGUACACUUGGUAACAAGGGUUAAGGUAGUCGCCUUGUUGAACGCAAGCCGCGCGGCUUCUAGCGAUAUGUUUGAGUUAACACUUCGAUGACUAUCUAAAAACAACUUAUUUUUACUGUACGCGUAAGUUAUUUCAUAUUUUAACUGAAUAAAAUCGAAAUGGUUAUUAUA